rnacentral:rRNA from 1 species
GUCUACAGCCAUGCUACCCUGAUCAAGCCCAAUCUCGUCUGAUCUCAGAAGCUAAUCAGGGUUUGGCCUGGUUAGUACUUGGAUGGGAGACCAUCUCGGAAGACUGGUGCUGUAGGUG